rnacentral:rRNA from 1 species
AGAGUUUGAUCAUGGCUCAGAUUGAACGCUGGCGGCAUGCCUUACACAUGCAAGUCGAACGGUAACAGGUUAAGCUGACGAGUGGCGAACGGGUGAGUAAUAUAUCGGAACGUGCCCAGUAGUGGGGGAUAGCCCGGCGAAAGCCGGAUUAAUACCGCAUACGACCUACGGGUGAAAGGGGGGGAUCGCAAGACCUCUCGCUAUUGGAGCGGCCGAUAUCAGAUUAGCUAGUUGGUGGGGUAAAAGCUCACCAAGGCGACGAUCUGUAGCUGGUCUGAGAGGACGACCAGCCACACUGGGACUGAGACACGGCCCAGACUCCUACGGGAGGCAGCAGUGGGGAAUUUUGGACAAUGGACGCAAGUCUGAUCCAGCCAUGCCGCGUGCGGGAAGAAGGCCUUCGGGUUGUAAACCGCUUUUGUCAGGGAAGAAAAGCUCCGAACUAAUAUUUUGGGGUGAUGACGGUACCUGAAGAAUAAGCACCGGCUAACUACGUGCCAGCAGCCGCGGUAAUACGUAGGGUGCAAGCGUUAAUCGGAAUUACUGGGCGUAAAGCGUGCGCAGGCGGUUCUAUAAGACAGAUGUGAAAUCCCCGGGCUCAACCUGGGAACUGCAUUUGUGACUGUAGAGCUGGAGUGCGGCAGAGGGGGAUGGAAUUCCGCGUGUAGCAGUGAAAUGCGUAGAUAUGCGGAGGAACACCGAUGGCGAAGGCAAUCCCCUGGGCCUGCACUGACGCUCAUGCACGAAAGCGUGGGGAGCAAACAGGAUUAGAUACCCUAGUAGUCC